GCCCGCCUCGGCCUCCCAAAGUGCUGGGAUUACAGGCGUGAGCCACCGCGCCCGGCCUCAACCAAGGUUUCUUAAUUUGGAGCCCUAGGUCCUCUGAGAGUCCUCAGAUUUUCCUCAAAAUUCAAAAGGUCCGUGAGAAUGUAACCUUGUGUUUUCAUUUUCAUAAUAUAAAUAUUAAUGCAACACAGGUGUGUCAUCUGGAUGAACAUGAGAUUCUAAUAGCUGCCUAUGUAUUUGUGUUCACAAUCAGGUGUACACCAAACGGAGGGCAAAUGCUGUUACCACUCAUCGUGCAAGACUUUUGAGGCAAUUUGGACAUAGACAAGUGAUGGGAAAAUUGAAUCAUUAUAUGGCUCAUGACAGUGUUGAAAACUCAAACAUCCAAGGACCUGUACCUUUGCUAAGUGCCAUGCAUAUGUUGCUGAUAAAGAUGCAAUAAAUACUCUUUUGUUAAAUUAUACUUAUUAUUUCUCAGUAUGGGGAGCGUGCAUUCUAAAUUGAGCAAUCUUCAGUAUUUUAAAAUGACUUUAUAAUUAAAAUAGCAAAAUAAUAAUAACAAUUACAAUUUAAAUAAUGAUUAGCAAUAAUUAAGAUUGUCAUGAGUAAAAAUAAUUAUGCCAACUCAUCUUUCUAUUAAUACACCUAGCAUUGACAAUUUAAGUUCAGCCAGUAUCUGCUUUUUAAACUGUCAUGAAUUUGAAUUGUAUUGGUUGUCACUUUGUUUAUAUAUACAUACAUAUAUCUAUAUCUAUAGAUAGUUUUUUUUUUUUUUUUUUUUGAGACAGGGUCUCAGUCUGUCACCCAGGUGGGAGUGCAGUGGCACGAUAUCGGCCCACUACAACCUCCUCCUCCUGGGCUCAAUCCAACCUCCCACCUCAGCUUCCAGAGUAGCUGGGACUAUAGGGUACGCCACCAUGCCCAGCUAAUUUUUUGAUUUUUUGUAAAGAUAAGGUCUCAUUAUGUUUCCCAAGCUUGUCUCAAGCUCCUAAGUUCAAGGGAUGCACCUACCUCGGCUUCCCAAAGUGCUAGGAUUAUAGGCGUAAGCCACCAUGCCCAGCUUAUAUUUAAUUUGCAAAUUUGUUUUCGUUUUUAUGAUUGUAUAGCACACAUGUAGUUUUAUAUUUUUACAUAUUUCAGAAAUUUUAUAAUAAAAAGUAAUAAAGGUAUGCUGAAGAUCUGCAAGAAUUUAUUUUCUUUAAAAGAGAUUUGUAUGUACCCUGGAUUACUCAAAUUCAGACAUUAAACGAGAUUAUCUCUUUCACAUUGAAAACCCUAUGAUAAGGAAACUAAUAAGUGCAGGAGACAGACGGAAGGGAUAGGAACCAAUGCUGUGUCCUCAGAUCAUUAUGAGACUUUUCAUUAUAAUCAUUAAACUAUUUUAUUUUUUGAGACAGGGUCUCACUCCAUCACCCAGGCUGGAGUGCAGUGGCAUGAUCUCAGCUUACUCCUCAACCUCCUGGGCUCAAGCAAUCCUCCCACUUCAGCCUCCCAAGUAGCUGGGACUACAGGCAUGCACCACUACACUCAGCUAAUUUUGUUUUGUUUUGUUUUAGAUGGUGUUGUUGUUGUUGUUGAUGGUGGUGGUGGUGGUGGUGGUGGUGGUGGUAGAGACAAGGAUUGAGAGUGAGUUGCUUGGGUUGGUCUCAAACUCCUGGGCUCAAAUGAUCCUCCCACCUCAGUCUCCCAAAGUGCUGGGAUUACAGGCGUGAGUCACCAUGCUCAGCCCAAACUAUUCUUUCUGUCUGCUUUCCUACAAGGAGAAAGUAAAGACAGCAGAGAUAUUCUACCUGAUCAAGAACGAAAUGCUACCAUGCAAAUUCAAAACUAUAAAGGGAAGCAUCUCACACUUUGCAUGGUUUUAUCUCAUCACUCAGAGGUCAGUAGACAGGGAAAGAGCUAGUAGUUCCCAUCUAGUCAAAUAAGGACUGUCUUGUCCGUGGAGGAUUCAUUACAAAACUGCUCUUAAUAUUUGUGAGCUACAAAGUCCACACAUCUUAGUGAAUUAACCCAGCAGUUUUGUUGUAGGAACCCAGCUGGAAAGUGUUUCUAAAUGACUGAUAGCAGCUCCUGUUUUCUUCAAGCCUAAACAAUGACAAAGAUAUUUCUUUUUAAAGUUCUGGGGAGGGUGGGAAGGGCAUGGCUUUUUAAAUGUGUAGUGUUUAUUCCUAGAUUGGCAUCCUCUUUGCCUCUAUUGAUGAGCAGCACCUCUCCCUUUUAUUUAAAUUCACUAGUUUGGUGAUCACGUGGUUCCAGAGGAGAAGGCAGAAGUGAUAGUGCAGCAGAGUCCCCACUCCUGUAACCCAUGUGCCAAGUUAUAAUCUGAUAGAUUCAUGUAAUAAUAGGUUUCUAAAUUGUGGAGUCAGACACAAAAGGUCAUCAGCAGAUGGUGAAACUGGUUGGGCCAAGCGAAGGGAAUAAGGCACCCUGAAGGGCACACUGCCUUGGACUGACGCAACAUCACAUGUGCUUUCUUCCUUCUUUUAGUCCUAACGUGAAUGGAUCUUCUCAAGUACGUGAAGUACUAGAGACCAGAGGAGGGCAUCUAACCCCAGACAGCAAAAAGACAGGAUGUCCACAGAUGCUUGGUGGGAGAGAUUGGACCAAUAACCGUGACAGUGACUCACUCCAGCAAUCUGUGCCUCUUUUGCAAACAUUUGAACUCAGAUUGAGAGACUCCAACUAAGCCACUAUGCUGGGAGCAGAGAUGGGGAAGAAUUGCUGAGUCAUGAUAAGAGAAGGCACUAUAGGAAGAAACAGUGAACUCUUAACAGCUGGGCAAGCAAUGAGUCAGCCUGGGUGGUCACUCCAGAUGCUCCCGGACACAUCCCAAUUUCUAGGAUGCCUUGCUUGCCAUGUUUGUGGACAUCCCCCCACUGCCCUUCAUCCUCAGAAAGGAACAGCCUCCUGUGGGUUGACUUGGUGAUAUCUGUCCAUAGAUAAUGUCUCCAGCCCCAGGCUCAUCACUCAGACAUCUGCCCUCAGGAGGACACGUUCAUCCCCAGCACCAGAGACAUGUCUGCCAAGGCUUUUGGAACUGAUUUUAUCCCCAUGCAAAAAGCUAGAUUCUAAUUCUGUCUGAUCACAAAAGGUUGAAUCAAAGCCCUACAACUGAGGUUCAUAGACCAAAACAAGAAAUACAUGGAAAAGUUGCCAAAGGAUUUUAGAAGAUCAGAGGCUGUAAUUCAUUAUAGAUGUGGAUCCUUUUGCUUUCCUCUAAGGAAAAAAAAUAUUCAAUUUUAUUAAGAAAAAAUUCCCACUAACUGUGGCCAUGUUCAAAGCACUCACAGAAAAUAUUUUGAACGCACAGGGUUUCGCUCAAGGAAGAAUAUUCAUCAUUUCAGGGUGGGGGAAAGGAGCUGGUCAUUCAUUUUCUCUCACCUUAUCCUAACAUUUAUAGUUAAAAAGGGAUGGAUUUGUCUUUGCCUAAUCUCCAUGACAAAGCAAUUCUUGCCUGACCUCUCAAAUUCUCCCCACUCCAGAGAUUGUAUGACCAGAAGGUGGGAUCAUAAAUUCCCAAGAGAUGACAAAGGUGAAAAUGGAAUCAACAAUCACUACCUAAAUUUUCAGGCUCUGAGACACCUUCCUAAACUAUAUGAAUAAGCCACAGCAAAAUGCUUAAAUCUCUCCAGCUAUUUUUUCUUUCAUUGAUAAGUUAUAUUUCUUUUUGAAGGAAAGAAAGUAUCUACCUCAGCUCUUAUUUGUUAAAACUUACAUAACAAAGACACUACAGGUGAAAACACAGCCACCAUCACUCUAUAUUAUUUUCUAAAAUGAUUUAUAACAUAACAUUCAGCAUAGAUAACAGUAAAAGUUUAAAGAGGAUCAUGAAAUACAAAAUAAAUCCAAUUUAAUAAAGUGAAAACAAAAUCAUUGUUCUUUUGUAAAUGUUGAUCACAAAGCUUAAAAAAUGUACUUGAAAUGAAAAGCUUCAGAAAUAAAACAGUUGUACCAAAUUCAGUUUAGUAUUUUGUAUUUAGUAUGUACCAAAUAAAUUUUUAUUAAAUUAUUCAUGAUCUGUGUCACCAACAACUGUGAUGAUCAAUACACAGUCAUAUGAUCUUGGGUGAAGUCUGUGCAGCUCAACAUAAUUCAGUUAAUUCAAUACUGUAAGUGCCGCUGCUAAUUUGCCCAAAUUAUACUAUCAAUUCCUCCUUAAUUAU
rnacentral:lncRNA from 10 species